AAUAUUGGUCAAUGGGCGAGAGCCUGAACCAGCCAAAUCGCGUGAAGGAAGACUGCCNNNCGGGUNGUAAACUUCUUUUAUAGNGGCNUAAAAAAGGGAACGAGUUCCCUAUUGUAUUUACCCUAUGAAUAAGCAUCGUCUAACUCCGUGCCAGCAUCCGCGGUAAUACGGAUGAUGCGAGCGUUAUCCGGAUUUAUUGGGUUUAAAGGGUGCGAAGGCGGAAACUUAAGUCAGCGGUGAAAUCUCGACGCUUAACGUCGAACCUGCCGUUGAAACUGGGUUUCUUGAGUAUAGAUGAAGUAGGCGGAAUUCGUUGUGUAGCGGUGACAUGCAUAGAUAUAACGAGGAACUCCGAUUGCGUAGGCAGCUAACUAAACUAUAACUGACGCUCAUGCACGAAAGCGUGGGGAUCAAACAGGA
rnacentral:rRNA from 1 species